AAAACAUAGCCAAUAGAAAAAAUUAUUAAUGGUGAUGCCUGCUCAAUGAAAAUAGCCGCGGUAACACCUGACCGUGCAAAGGUAGCACAAUAAAUCGCCCACUAAUUAUAGGAUAGAAUGAAGGUAAAACGAAGAUCUUACUGUCUCAAGACCAUAAAAUUUAAAAUAGAAUGUGUGUGUAAAUCCACACUAAGACGGCAAGACGAUAAGACCCUAAGAACUUUAAACCCUAAGUUUCGUUGGGGCAACGAUCUUUAAAAAAGUAACUAAGAUAAGACCCAUUAAAAAAUUAAUGAUAAUAUAAUAAAAGUUCCUUAGGGAU
rnacentral:rRNA from 1 species